UACAGAGGUCUCAAGCGUUGUUCGGAUUCAUUGGGCGUAAAGGGUGCGUAGGCGGCGCGGUAAGUCGGGUGUGAAAUCUUGGAGCUUAACUCCGAAACUGCAUUCGAUACUGCGGUGCUUGAGGACUGGAGAGGAGACUGGAAUUCAUGGUGUAGCAGUGAAAUGCGUAGAGAUCAUGAGGAAGACCAGUGGCGAAGGCGGGUCUCUGGACAGUUCCUGACACUGAGACACGAAGGCCAGGGGAGCAAAACGGG
rnacentral:rRNA from 1 species